ensembl:misc_RNA Y_RNA Y RNA
GACUCAGGUGAAGGUAGUGAAUUAUCUCAUUUGAUUGUUCAUAGUCAGUUAUAGAUUAUACUCCUUGUUCUACUCUUUCCCCUUCUCACUCAUGCACUUGACUAGUCUUAA